GCAUUAAUGGGGUAGUGGUAACCUGGGUCGUUGCCAUUUGAAAAGACGCACAAAGUUUCGACCCGCCGGGGGUUUGAUUCCCCCUUAAUGCA